CUCAGCACCUGCCCCGGGGCCGGGCCCGACCGCCACGCAGGCACCUGCCGUCGCCGUCGCCGCCGCCGCCGCCGCCGCCGCCAUACGGGUCGGAGAGGCUGCGAGCCGCUCCCGGGGAAGAUCCGGCUCCCAUCCGGCCCCGCCCGCCCUGCCUUAUCCUGCCCGCAACUCCGGGGCUGCCCGGCUCGAUUCCGGGUAAUAUGGGCCGGCUGAGCAGGCUCCACCGGGUGGCAUAGGGGGCUGUGGCCGAAACAGGAGCCCUUCUGGAGGUGGAAACCCAGCUUCUAGUCCCUCUCUGUCCCAGCGACCUCUCUGGCCUUGGGCAAGUCAUUUCCCAGCCUUUCCUCGGUUUUCCUGUAUGUUCAGAGGGGUUGGUCUGGCCUUGGGCAAGGCCCUCACCAGUCCCCAGAUCCUGGUUUCGGGGCUUCUAGCAAUAAUGCUGAGCCACUUACCUGGGAAGUUGGAGGCCUUCGAGGGAUUGGAGUGUUAGCUGUGAGGAGGUGUGGAAAAUCAGGGUGGGGGAGCUAGAACCAGAUGAAGAUCAAGUCUGCUCCUUCACAUCUGUUUGGUGCUGACAUCCUGAGGGUUCGCUCCCUGCCAUCUCCCUGGCCUUUCUUUCAGUCUUCCCGUGUCUGAGACAGACAGACAGAUGGAAAAGGACAAAUGGGGCCUGGUAGCCCUUGCCAAGUGUCCGUCAUUCCUCCUCUCUCAACAUUGAUGGUGAUGCUGGUCUAGCCCCAGAGAGAGGGUCGUAGGUGGAGGGAAGCCUCCUUGGACAGCAGUAAGGAGCUACAGUUUCCCCUUAGGCUGGAGAAACAGACAGCUGUGGCAGCUGACCGACCCCCUGCCCACCUGCCGGUUGUGACUCAGCCUUGGAACCUCUGGACGCAGAGGGUACCCAGGGUCUAUAGGGAAAAACUGAGAAGUAGAGUGCAGCUUAUAUGCAGGGGAGCUUGGAUUUGAACCCAGGCUUUAGCGCAAGACUCCAGAGCACUCUUAACCCUUCAGUGUCUGUAUGAUCAGGGGCGGGUGACUGAGACACCUUCUCUCCUCCUCUCCGUGGCCGUGGAAUGGGAUAUGUGCAUGUGUAAGCGAAGGGCGUACUUGUACUCCAACACCCAGCACAGAGUGGCACACAGCACAUUGUAUUAAACGUUUGAGGAAUAAGUGAGUGAACAA